rnacentral:rRNA from 1 species
UACGAAUGGGGCAAGCGUUGUUCGGAAUCACUGGGCGUAAAGCGUGCGUAGGCUGUUCUACAAGUCAGAAGUGAAAGCCCUGGGCUUAACCCAGGAAUUGCUUUUGAAACUGUAGGACUGGAGUCCCGGAGAGGUUAGCAGAAUAUCCAGUGUAGAGGUGAAAUUCGCAGAUAUUGGAUGGAAUACCAGUGGCGAAGGCGGCUAACUGGACGGGUACUGACGCUGAGGCACGAAAGCGUGGGGAUCAAACAGG